rnacentral:rRNA from 1 species
AUUGAACGCUGGCGGCAGGCUUAACACAUGCAAGUCGAGCGGGGAAGGGUAGCUUGCUACCUGACCUAGCGGCGGACGGGUGAGUAAUGCUUAGGAAUCUGCCUAUUAGUGGGGGACAACAUUCCGAAAGGAAUGCUAAUACCGCAUACGCCCUACGGGGGAAAGCAGGGGAUCUUCGGACCUUGCGCUAAUAGAUGAGCCUAAGUCAGAUUAGCUAGUUGGUGGGGUAAAGGCCUACCAAGGCGACGAUCUGUAGCGGGUCUGAGAGGAUGAUCCGCCACACUGGGACUGAGACACGGGCCAGACUCCUACGGGAGGCAGCAGUGGGGAAUAUUGGACAAUGGGCGAAAGCCUGAUCCAGCCAUGCCGCGUGUGUGAAGAAGGCCUUUUGGUUGUAAAGCACUUUAAGCGAGGAGGAGGCUACUUAGAUUAAUACUCUAGGAUAGUGGACGUUACUCGCAGAAUAAGCACCGGCUAACUCUUUGCCAGCCGCCGCAGUAA